AAGUUGCGUGAGUGCAGUUUUAGCAACGCGGCUAACAGCCAAAAACAAAACAAAACGCGGAGACCGAGUCAGGACAUGAAGACCUGAGGAGAAAUAAACUGAUAUUUACUCCAAGGACAGAGUUACACUGCGGAUUAAUUCUCAACACGUGAAUUUAUGGAGAUAUGAAGGCGCUUCGUCUUGUUUAGUGUUUUCUGUCGUCCAGAUGAGUCUCGCGCGUAGGCAGAUUCCUCUGGAUAGAAACCGCUCACCUUGGGACCAGCGAAGCUUUGCCAGGCUCCCGGGUCAACCACGGCAGACUGCCACUGACUCCAGCUCCAUCCAGCUUCAGCUCAAACCCUGACAAGGAUGAUGGAAACCACCUUCUAGCUGCCGUCUAAGGGAAGCUACUCCUUGUUUUUUUUUUUAAACUGCCUAAUUUUCCUUUGCUUCUUUAACUCAGUAAAGUCAUGUGUUUAACCUUCCCCCUGGCUCUGUCUGGUGGACAGACCCAUGGGGUCUGUAUGGAGCAAAUACUGCAACAUUUGCUGGAAACAAGUAUCCACCAGCACAUGGUCGCUGCAGGAGCUACAUAAGGGCCCCCAGGCCACUGAAAUUCCACUCCCCGGUUCUGGCCAUGCCGCUCAGUGCCUCCUCACCAAAAUGAGGGCGGAGGACAACAUGGUGGCCUUCCCCGAAACGUUUGAGCAGACUGCGGAGCGAGAGGGCUGGACUUCUUCUCUAUAUCCUCUCCCCUUUCAGACCUCACCAAAAAGGAUCAACUGAACUGUGUGCAGUGGACUGACAAAACAGAACGGGCUUUCCUGCAGCUGAAAAUAGUGCUUACCAACCACCCUGUGCUCCAGAGCCACGACUUUAGCCUCCCCUUCACCCUUCACAACGACACCUCCAAGAUGGGGCUGGGGCCGUCCUGUCUUGGGAGGUUGAAGGAGAGGAGCACUCGGUCCUCUACGUUUCAAGGAAACUGAUCCCCAACGAGAAGAACUACACUGCAGUCAGGUGAGAAGCCCUUGCGAUAAAGUGGGCUUUUCUGCUACCUGGCAGGGCGGCACUUCACCUUGGUCAUUGAACACGCUCCUAUGCUGUGGAUGGAAGGCCAAGGACACCAAUGCACUUGUAACUCAAUGGUUCCUUUCAUUGCAGGACUUCUCGUGCCAGAUCCGGCACAGAGCCGGAAGCCAGCAUGGGAAUGCAGAUGGGCUCUCACGCGCCCAUACAUUUCCAGGCCGGGGCUCAGAGGUAAGGGGGAGGCCCUGUGAUACCGACGCUCACACGCAUUCAAGAGAACACUGCUCUUUGCCCCCUCUCUCUCCCUCCAGGCCACAAACAGUGGUGAUUCAGCACCUCGGAUAGCGAUGCUGUCGUAGAGCGGCGAUGGAUCAGCACCAUGGCCAGCGCCACUAAAUUAGAGUGCAAGGCGGAGUGCGCAAAAACACAGUGGGCCAAUCAGGAGCGCCACUGAACCCUUAGCCCCCCAGAAGCAGAACACAGUGCAGUUGGAAGACUUGUAUAUCCGAAUAGUAAUUGGAAGUGAUUGGAACACCUGAUUCUGAUUAUUUGGAUGGGUGAGCGAAUACUUUUGGCAAUAUAGUGUGUAUGAGUGUGUGUGCGCAAAGUAAAAGUAAAAAAAAUUGUAACCAUAAAGAUAAAGUGUCAUUUACUAGAACUUAUCAGGUUUGUUUCCUGUCAGUAUUUUUGUUUCAAUUUUCUAUUACAGUGAAAAUUAAAAUAUAGAAAUGAAUUAUUAGUGAGCAUUUAAUCAAAAAGAAAGAAAAGAAAAUCAAAAACUGGAAAAUGCUCUAUUCAGCUAAUCAGGAUUUUAAAGCUGCAGAUGAAUUAUAUUGUUUUACCAAAGUCACAGUUGACUUAUCCACUUGUAGAACUGUCUUUCACUUGUGAAAUUUUAAAACAGCUCCCCUUUCAUAACAGUAAUCACUGCAUUGAAGAGACUGUCAGUCUGAAGGAAUAGUGUGACAAUGAAAACAGAGUGUCGAAAAGUGUACGGCAUUAUAAGGUGGUUAAAGAUAAGGUGUUAGAAUUUUAGAACUUGGGAAUUGGAAACAGGAAGAGGAAAAUUAUAUCAAAGUGGUUGGAUAUCCUGGUAAGCACUGUUGGAUAAUGAGUAAGUGGAAGCAGCAUUACAUCACCUGAUAAGGCCUCAAAACCCAAUCCAAAAAAACAAGACAGAUGCUGGUGAGGGAAGGAACAGUGAGGCCAACAGUUACUUUGAAGGAGUUAUAAAGUACUGUGUCUUAGAGUCCUACCAGAGUCCUACCAGUGGCUACUCUAUAACUACUCCACCAGCGAUGCUGCACAAGACAACCAUUUUUCAUCAUUCAAGCUCUGUGUAAUUGAGGCAUGUAUGGAAUGCAUGGCUAAAAAGAAACUGUUGCUCAAAACGACUCAUUUAAAAGCAUACUACUGAUCACUGAAGAUGUGCUUUUUUUAUAACGAGACCCGAGAUGUAUUUGGGCAAUUUUCAAGGCUGUAUGUGUGUCUCCCUAGGAUAAAAUAUGCUUCUUCUUUUUUUUUUUUAAUAAAUGACCAAUAGACCAAUGAAUGACUUGAAAAUAUAAAUUAAUUACUUAAGCCUUAUUCUUAUUCUUAUACUCAAUUAAUAUUCUUCUGUGUGUGUUAUGCAAUAUUGACUAUACAACAUUGAGUAAAAAUAGAGACACUCCCAAGUGUCUUUAUUCGUGGCUCUGGAGCACAGGGUGGCUGGUAAGCACUAUUUUCAGCUGCAGGAAAGCCCGUUCUGUUUUGUCAGUCCACUGCACACAGUUCGGUUGAUCCUUUUUGGUGUCUCAUCUUGAUCCGGUACAGAGCCGGGAGCCAGCAUGGGAAUGCAGAUGGACUCUCACGCGCCCAUACAUUUCCAGGCCAGGGCUCAGAGGUAAAGGGGAGGCCCUGUGAUACUGACGCUCACACGCAUUCAAGAGAACACUGCUCUUUGCCCCCUCUCUCUCCCUCCAGGCCACAAACAGUGGUGAUUCAGCACCUCGGAUAGCGAUGCUGUCGUAGAGUAAUUGUUGCUACAUUUUAGAAUAUCACUCUCUCCUUGUACCAUGUUCCUUCAGCCAUCUGCUUCUGAAUCCCUCUCUUCCACACAAACCUCAUCCAUGUGCUGUAUACAGGCAUUGGUUUAACACUUUUGCCUUUCUCUCACACACUGGACCCCUGAUCAUAUAAUGGACGACCCUGAGGUGAAUACAUACACACAAUUUGACCAUCCACAGCUCCUUUCUUCUUAAUCUUCACAGCAUCUCUAUUCCAGUCAAUUAACUUCAGUCUGUUUAACAUUGAAUUAGUGUGUAAUGUUUUCUGCCUGUUGGUGUAUUUAUUUGUGGUGUGUCUCACUCCAUUCAAGCACCAAACCUCUACAUCCAACCAAACUGGAUUGAAUCAGACAGGUUUGAUAAAUGUCCUCUCUCUCUCUCUCUCUCUCUCUCUCUCUCUCUCUCUCUCUGUCUGUCUCUCUGUCACACAUGCAUGCACACACAUACACACACAGACACUGUACUGACAGCUUGACACAUCUCUCUUCCACUUCUGUGACAGAUUUCUUAGUUUCUGUGAAUAACAAUCAGCUUAAGCGCUGCUUGCUCCUUACUUUGCCCCAUUAUGGAUGGAGUAUGAUGCUUCCAGGACAGUAAAAAUUACAAGAUGAGACUAGCUGUUACUGCAGUCUAUUUGAUCACUCGGUGGAUUUUUCUGCCAUUUGAGCUUUUUACACACCACCUAAAGUAACUCGGAAUGGCGGCGGAUGUUGAACAGAAACGACUGUUAUAUGUCAGAACUCAGAGUGUUAGGAUUUUCCUCCAUCCCCUCUUCAAAUGUGUCAAAAUUGUCAGUUUUAUGAAACAUUUUUUUUUUCUGCAGAAGAAUAUUUUUCCAGUGUAAAUUCAGUGCAAAAGAAUGCCGACUUAUGUGAGGUAAGUUCAAAAGUUAAGUCGGUAUUUGCACAGAGAAAGUUCCUUGUAUUCAGAGUUGAGUAUGCAAGUUGAUUUUCUAGGUGCUCCAGUCAAAUGCAGACAGACAAUAAUUACAGCAUUUCUCUUUUCUUUCUCUUUUUCUUUUUGCUGUCACAUGUAAAACAGAAUAACCUAAAAGCAAGAGACAAUUUAAAAAUUUAGCAAAGCAAAAGUUAUUGUGUGAGCUCAAAGAUUGUGUUUGAGAGCAUCUUUUAAGGUGUCAAUGAUUGAAACAAUGGCGCCAAGGACUGUGACACAAAACACAAAACCUCAGGCCCAUGUGAUUUCUUUCAGAAUUACUGGAGGGUUAAAAAGCAUUACAGCUAAACAAAUAAAAGUGUCUGUUUGGUGUUUGUUCUUUUUGUCCUGACCCACAGGUAAUGAUGGCGGUUUGUUGAGUAAACUGAUCAGCAACAUGUUUGUAGUGAGUGACAGCAUCACCUGGGGAACGAGGUGCAAGCGUGCUUAAUUGGACGUCCUGCUAUUGAUUGGGAAAAAGCCAGCCAGGAACCCUGAAAGUAAAACCUAAUUAAGUGCUCCUGUCAUUGUGUCCCAUUAGCCUGACAGAAUAAAGAGGUGUGGGGGUGUUUAGCGGCAGCAUUCCUGCAUCCCAAUGCUGUGUGUGCUUUCCUGAUAAGCAGAGCUCCUAAUUUUAAUGAAGGUAAACAAGAGCUAGCUGACUUCACAUGUUUUAAUUAGAGGCAGGUUGAGCACUUACACACACACACACACACACACACACUGAAUGGAGCCUGGGCAUUGCUUCCUCCUCAUCACAACGCUUUCACUUUUUUUCCUGUCACUAUCAUGUUUGCGCCCUUUCUGUGAUAAAUAGCCUCGCUCAGGGUGUGUCAUAAACACAAGGUUAAUUAUUUUUGCGAAGCUGUUUUUUUACCUGCACUCUUUCCAAGUCUUCUUUAUCUUUUUUUGUGUUGCAAGGACCAUCUUCCCUUUUCAUUAAAAUCUUGCUUUCUUUCAUGCUCUCUCACCCCUCUUUUAAUCACAGGUGAGUUCUGGAGGUUAACCAUGAGCAAUACGGUUAACUUAGCACUUUACUUGCUACAAACUUAACAAUUUGAGCAGACGAGCAAAAGGGGCCGAAGCAACUGAAUCAAAGCUAAAGCAGAUAAAAGUUUGUGAAGAGCUUUUAAGGAGAACAAUUUAAGGAGAACAAAAUGUGUUGUAGUUAUAAAUGUUAAUGAGUUUGCAAGCAGGGUGUGUUUGUCAAAAACAUAGACUGCAGGUUUAAGUCUACAUAUAAGUACAUGGAUCAGGCAUAACAUUAUGAGCAGUGACAGGUGAAUAAGACUGAGUAUCUCCUCAUCAUGCCACCUGUUAGUAGGUGGGAUAUAUUAGGCAGUAAGUGAACAUUUUGUCCUCAAAGUUGAUGUGUUAGAAGCAGAAAAAAUGGACAAGCGUAAGGAUUUGAGUGAGUUUAACAUGGGCUAGAUGGCUAGACCACUGGAUCAGAGCAUCUCCAAAACUGCAGCUCUUGUGGGGUUUUACCGGUCUGCAGUGGUCAGUAUCUAUCAAAAGUGGUCCAAGGAAGGAACAGUGGUGAACCGGUGACAGGGUCGUGGGGGAGCGAAGGCUGACCCGUGUGAUCCGAUCCAACAGACCAGCUACUGUUGCUCAAAUUGCUGAGGAAGUUAAUGCUGGUUCUGAUAGAAAGGGGACAGAAUACACAGUGUAUGAUGGGUCAGGGCUGUUUUGCCAGUUAAAGGGGGACCAACACAAUAUCAGACAGAUGGUUAUAAUGUUAUGCUUGGUUGGUGUACAUAUAAUAAUGCAUUUCAGUAUUCAUCCGUAUGUCCCCCUCUCAGAAAAAAAACAAUGACAGAACAAUGAUUAAGCAUUGUCGUCAUCUUUAUUGAGUAUGGUACUGGGCUAACAGCGUAGCUAUCAUGAAAUGAAAAUGUAAUAACAGCAUGUGCUCUCUUCACAGCAUGUCUAAUAUCUGUGACGAUUUGGAAAUAAACCACUGGGAAGAACCUGACACAGUGGCAAGAAACAGUGUGCUGAUUUAUAUUUCCCCUCAAUACUCUCAUAUUCACAAGGACACAUUCUUCACACUGGGACAGUUACAGAUGUACAACACAAAUCAAAAGACAUGUCCAAGAGAAUGAAAAGAUGCAUGGAUCAUAUUCAAUGAAAUGUAGAGGCUGCGAAGAAAAUGUACUCUUUGAGGGGGAAAAAAGCCCAGCUGUGGCAAGAGAUCCAUGAGCCAAGGAAGAAAAAAAUGAAUAAAAGGACCUUUUCAUAAUGCUGUGGCUAAUUAGAACAGCGUACACCUCAUGUUUCAAAGAAACUGCUCUUUUACCGAUGGGUAUGAGUCAGUAUUUAGAGGAUUAUGUCUAGAAGGCAUGUGUGUUGGCAAGAACUGUUGCUUAACAAUUGGGUUAAGAACACCAGCUUUGGCCAACAGCAGGAAGUCUUGUGUUUGUUCCAAACCCACCAACACACCAGCUGAUACAAAAUGUUCACCUGUUUAUCAUUCCUUCUUCCGGAGAUGAAGACUAAUGCACAAAAAGAAACAAAAAACUGUGAUACACAUAUACGUAUUGUUUCUUACAAAACUGUUUAAAAAAUCUUAAUCAUCCAAAUUGACAGUACAUUAAAAAAAAAAAAAGAAAGAAGAGAUAUGAAUAAUAAAGAAAAUGCCCACAAGAUGAAAACUGGCUUAUUUGCAGGUAUAUAAUGUGAGUACCCAUUAUACAGUUUUCUCACCACACACCCAUUUUAUGGCUAAUUGUGCUAAAAGAAGAGCGCUAUUGUUUUGGGGUUUUCUUUGUGUGUGUGUGUGUCACACUGCCACCCAUCACUCAGAUGAAUACAGUCUUACAGCACUAUAAUUACACUGUCAAUGGCCUAUUCAUAGCUUUUUUUUCCUGACAGGAUGUUCUGGUAAAGGGGAAAAAACAAAUAAUCUGAAAUAAUCACUAUUACACUGCAUUCAUCAAACCAAAUCCCAAAACACUGCAUAGUUUUAAUAAUCUCAACAAUUAUAUUAUAUUAAGGAUAUAUUAAGCUCAUUUGAUUUUGGAUAUACAAGGUUGUAAAAUUAGAUUCAACAAGAAUCAAGAAGACUUUUUUUCUUUUCUCUGUACAUUUUGUCAGUCAUGAAAAAAUGUCAUCGGUCAGUUGCUGGCACAUGUGUGUGUAUGUGUGUGUUUGAUAGAUUUAUAGGUAAGCUGGUGUAAGUUCAUUAAUGCACCGCCGCCACCUUCAUAAAACAUGUGCACAGAUGAGCAAUUUAUGAUAAGAGAUAUUUAUGAUAUGGAUAAUGCCUUCCAGUCACGUACCUAUGAUUUUUUGCUGAGCCAAACAACUCACUGGUCACUUACAUAUAAUGGUGUUUUUCUGGGUACCUAGGUAACAUCAUGGCAGCUGUUGAUAUAGUGAAGUUGUCUGUGUGGAGAUGUUUACUGAACAUGUAUGGAAGGAGCUUCCGGUGUCAGUGCUUUGGAACAGAGGUCAGUUAAAAUGUGACUAAGUCAAACUUUAGUACAAGAUGUUCACAGGAAUGUCUGGUUAUAGUUACUAUAACAUAAGUGAUAACAAGAACUGGUUUUCUGGAUGUUUGGCAACAAUAAAUGAAUCUGUGAACAGGUAGAAGUAUGAACUGGAAUUAAAAAUGGCAAUUGUUGCCAAAUAGCUUGGUGUAUGAAGAAUAAAAUACAUCUGGACACACGGUAAUAGGAAAUUAAUCAAUUUCAGGGUGGUACCAGUAACUCUGGACUCAUGUACAUGUAAAGGAUUUAAGUUUGCAUUGCAGUGAGUUUAAGAAACACUUCAGCUCAGUUGACUUUUAUUUCAGCAUUCUUGAGGCUUUAGUUCCAAAUAGUCAAAGCUUUUUCAUUUUAUCAUCACUUUCAUGUACACAGACUUUAAAUGUCAUUGAUAAAAGUAUGCCAGGAACAGGACAGAGGGUCAUCUGAUCAUCUACAGUGGUUUCCUGUUUAGCAUCUGGGUUUUAAAUACCAUCCAAAUUCGGCAGACAGCUAAAGAACUUCAGAGUCUAAUCUGGUGUUGCACUAAAUCUUGUUCAGUGGCAGUCAGACCUCAAGAGUAGAGCUAUUAGGGCUGGAGCAGAAGCCUGAUAAAUGGGAUAAACGUGUGCUGACAGCCUCUGUUUCCUCCCUCCAGUGGAUGACUGAAACUCCAUGGUGCUGCAUGUUAAGUGACGGUCGGCCUCACAGAACAAUGCUAAACCUGACAAAGUCCUAGCACAGAAAAAUAUGUUGAAUAGAGUCAAAUUCAAUCACUACGCUACACUAAUUGGACUGUUUUUAAAACAAAUAAUAGAUUGUGAAGCCUAUUUGUAGAUAUUUUUACUGAAAGCUUGAAAUUGUUGAAUUGUUUUAUAAAUCUGUCUAAAUUAGUGGAGUGAAUUUUGUAUACAUGUCUCCCAUUCAGUUUAAUGCUUGGAUAUUUGUUAUAUAAUAAUCUCAUAAUAAGAAACGUUAAAUAAGAUUAUUAUUAUUCAGGCUUAUUCAGGCAUUACAUUUUCUCAUUGUUUUGCCCAAUAAUUUAACUCCUCCUUAAGUAGAAAAAGUAACAUGGAAUACAAUAAGGCUAUUAUAAGCUUGAAAUUAGUUUUCAUAUCAUAUACUUUUAGCUCACAAGCUUCUUUUUUUGUGAGCCAAUAGAAAAAAAAGUGGAGGUGAAGAAGAUGCUAAUUAAACAAUGUUGAUUACUUCAACACCAGAGCCACACUAAAGAUCUGCCUCACUGUUUCUUACUGCUGUAUCUGAAAGGAUUUUCUGCUUGAAAGUGUUAGCACUUGUUUGCAUGGCAGGGAAAAAAAGCAUCUGGCUUUUCUUUUGCAGUUUCUGUCCCAUAACUAUCUAAGCCAAUCAUAUGAUCACUUUUAUCAGUCUUUUUAAUUCAUUUUAUUUUUAUUAGCGCCAGUUUCUUCAGAGUUUCUCCAAGUAUUGCACUGUAACAUCUAAGAAUUCAGAGGCAUGUUAGAUCAUUUCUAGAACUUUUGUAGACAUCUUGUAGAGCUUAUGAUAAAUUUGUAUUCCUCACUGAUUGUGCACUGAAGCCUGGUUUUAGUCUGAUUAAAUAACCUCUCAUGUGUGCUUUAAUCAGUCUUAAUCAGAACUUCAUCAGAACAUCUAGGAUCAUUUGCAUUGCCUAAUACUCCCAGAUAUAAUCCUAAUCAGUGAAGGCUGAACGUAUUUAACAAGACGAGUGAGAUCUGACCGUCUGUCUUUUUCGUUCUUUAUCCCUUACCUUGACAGUUUGAAGAAUCCUAUCGCAAACUUCAGAACAGAAUAUCUUGUUGUUGGUGAAGGGAGAACUAAGAACACUUGUCAUUCUUUGUUUUUUCUGUGCUUCUGUAGCCAUUGUGUAGAUCAUGUUUUACAUAAUUGUAAUAAUUUAGGAACUAUUCAGUCACACAGAUGUGCUUUGGUCUGCCCCAUAUGUGAUGGCUGUCUUCUCACCUGCUUCAAGAAGCACACUGAGGGGGAAGCUUCCCCAAAUGGACUGAACGCUGCAUUUGUGAAAACACUCUUAAACAUGAUUGAAAACACCACCAAGCGGCCUUCAUGCAGAACGUGUUUCAGCCAGUUAUCAGCAGAAGGAGAGCUAUGAGAUUAGGAUACUGAGAGUGAAAUGGACACACAUCACUGGCAGGCUGACUAGCAGGCAGGCAAUGACAGUUUACAAAUCAAUUCCACAUGACAGUUUUCACCUCUACUGCAUGUUCAGUGUCAUCUACCUUAUUGAACAUAAUGAACACUCUGUGUGUGUGUGUGUGUGUGCACAGAGCCACCAGAACAGCUUUGGUGCUUCUUUCUGUUGAUUCUACACAUCUAUGGAAGUUUAUUGGAGCAAUAAAGACUGUUUCUCCAAAUGAUAUUCGUUCAAAUAAUGUAUUUGAUUAAUCGGAUAACAUUUUAUUCAGAUAAACUGUGAGGGUGUUUCAUGCAUUCCAGUCAAGGUAAGGGGUUAUGUCCUAGUGGAUCGGCCCCAGCUCUGCCAGAACCUGCACGUCACCCAUGGUGCCACACUCUUCAACUACAGUAACUGUGAUUACUUCAGCCAGUACCACUAAAAUACUCCCCCUAUCUCUCUCUCUCUCUCUCUCUCUCUCUCUCUCUCUGUCUACACAAUUUUCCUUUCUCACUUAAAUAAACCCUCUGACAUUUUUGUUAUUGCUGCACAACUCAAUCAGCCACGUUCUAAUAGGCUAGACUCAUUAGUUUCCUACAUUAAAUAAAGCAACAUUUACAACCCUCUGAAGUGCAUUUCUAAUGUUCCUGGCUCCAGCACAGGGUCAUAUUUCAGUUCCAAUUAAGUUCUCGUUUCAGCCUUUGCUCUCACUCGCACUAAUAAUAUUCUUUUUUAGUAAUAUUCUCAUUAACAGCUUUUAUGAUUAAGCCACGUUGAUGAUCAAAGGGAAUAGGGAAUGCAAUGUUAAAUUGAUUAUUUUUUAUUAUUUCUUUAAGGUAUUUAGUCAUUUAUGAAUGAUUUAGAUAUAAAAAUGAACCAAGUCCAUAGACUUACCCAUGCUCAUCUAAUCUAAUCUAAUUUUCUGUGUUUUUUUUUUUGUUUUGUUUUUUAUGUUUAUUAUGUUGCCGUGAGCUAAAGGAGAAUCACUUGUGUAAGGAGCAAUGAUGCCAACAUCUAACAUCUCAAAGUCGACGUGAAUCUGGAACCUAUCCUAGGAACAAAGUUUCGAGGCAGUAACACACCAUGGAUGGGACACCAGUUCAUCGCAGUGCACCUCAUAACAUCACAGACACGAUUUAGAAUCAUCCAUCAUAUGCUUUGCCUUGAAAACCCAUUUUCUCCACUGAGCCUUGUUUUUGCAACGAAUCUGUUUCACCUGGAGCUGAGCACCACAAAGGACACUGAGAUUUGUCUCCAUUAGAGGUCAAACACUCUGAAAAUCCCAGAGACAUGUACCACGGUAUCAGAGCUUUGGACCCCGAGAGACUCAGUGUGUUCCUCACAGUUAAAGAGAUCACAGAGAAGCAACCAAGAGGCACUUGAUAACUCUGAAGGAGCUGAAAAGAUCCUCAACAGAGAUGGAGGAAGCCGUUCACAGAACAUCCACAGCCUGGACACUCAGCCGUGUGAAAUCCCUUUCGGAGACAUGCUGGAAACUCAGGCAUGUGGGAAAAUGUUUUCUGGUCUGAUGAGACCAAAAGUGGACAUUUUAGAUUUGGCACAGAGCGUAACAUUUGGCUGCAACUCAACGCUUAGUGGGGGCUCAUCCAUGGGGCAGCUGAAGCAUUUUAUACCAUUUUAUAUCAGCAAGUAUUCAUUUUCAUGAAGUCACAGCUCUAUUCAUUUUCAAUUCUGUUAAAAUGUUAAUUAGCUUUUUUGAAGAUUCUUUUUUGAAAUGAUUUUCUCACCAUACUUCAUGUUGUACAAUCAUCAUGCAGUGUUUUUACAUGCCUCACUUAACUUCUAUAGAGUUAUUAUUGCAUCUAGUGCUCAAAAUGGGAAGUGCAACUAGUUCUAACAGAGUCCUGUAGGGGCAGCAAUCACACUGCCGCAUGCUUAGGGGAAGAGCCACGGACAAUGAGAGGUCACUACAUUUAGCUAGUUUAAAAAUACCUCAUAGACUAAAAAAUUAAAAUUAAAAAAUUAAUGACAUACUUUUUCCCCAUGUAAUCAGUGUUAAAAGGGUUUAUACUAGCUGGGGAUUUUCUAGACUAUAAGGGUUACUCUAAACAGUACUUAGUUCCGUUAUAGUAUAAAUCAAGCCUCUCGAUUUAAUUUUGUUUGAGACUUUGUUGUUAUUAUUAUUGUCCUAAUCCAAAAAAAAAAACUAUGUUCAUAGACUGCUGCCAACACUAUAAAUGUGCAAAAAAUAAAAAAGGAACUGUAUUCACAAAGGGUGAAUACUUACACAAGGCACGGUACCAUUCAAUUACACCUUAAAUUACCAAGAGUACAGCUUUUAUAUUAUUAUUCCUGAAACCCAGCAGAGAACCUCUAAAGCGCACUGCAUCACGUAGCCAAUUAACAGGAGCUUUAAUAGAAAAGACUUUAAUUAAAAUGUCUUAGGGAGUAAAUUGGCCAUUAGAGCUCAGUAUUACUGUAAGGUGUCCAGCUGAGAGAUUUAACUCCCUGCUUCAAGUGCAUUCUGGGUAAAUGCCCUCUGCCUUGUAUAACAAGAUCUAUUUAAAUAACAUAGCACUGUAAAUUUCCGCCCUGUUUAUAUGAUGUACAAAUACACCGUUAUACCAAAGGAUUCGCUUUACACAUCGAGUAACUUGUAAACUGGGAAGUUCAUUUAAUAUGAUUGUGUUUUGUGUUCUAUAUAAUAACUGAUCUAGAAUAGACCUAUAUUAGAAAUUGUCUAUUUUUUUAUACUUAGACACACUGAGAUUUUUGGUUUUGGUUGGAUAUCUGUCUGUGUAUGAAGCAGUAACAGUCACUAUUUUAUUCUUAAGAAUAAUGUUUUCAGUUAUUAAGAGCAGAUAUGAACCAUAUCCACACGGCUGUACUGUAGAUAAGUGCAUCAGCGCAUCUUCUCCGAAACACGCCUCCCCACUCCUGCAUGCACAUCCAUAGAUGAGUAGACACAGAGGGUCGCUCUCACUAAUUGGGGUCACCUCUUCUGAGAGGCGAGGGAACACUAAACACACUCUCUCAUUAUUUUUUCUGUCUCUAUUCUUUUCAUUCUACAGGGUUUUACUCUGGGAUUUGAGAGGAUGGAUAUUCAUGCCCUUUCUCUUUUGCUUAGACUGCUGAAAGAGUCUUCUUAUUUUUUUCAUUUCUUGAAGGCCAGGGCUAUUGUGCAGCCUUUCCUAUCAAAAUAAUAAUAAUAAAGAAAACUCUAUUAAAGCAUUGCAUCUCCCCAAAAAAUCUCAAAAGGCCAUCAGGUGCUUGUUAGCAUGAUGAUGUUUUGAAAAGGCAGACUGGCUCUGCUAACCCUACAUCUGAUGUUCAAGGCUUUUCAUCAGGUCACGUCUCUCAUCUCUCUUCUUGUCUUGCAGAAGCAUUUGACGAUGUUCAGUAUGGAUCACCUUAACGACUGAGAUCUUUCUCCAUCUCUGUGAACUCAAAACGCACCCAUUAAUAUCCAAGUCUUUGUUACUUCUAAGCAUCAAAUGAAUGCCUGUAUUGUUUGUGCAUUAAUUGUCUAAUUAAUGCCACAAUCACAGACUGGUUCAGAUACUGUUUCCAAGCUUUCCAAUCUCACUCCCUGCUAGCAUCAUGAUCUGACUGAGAACUUUAAUCCAACAUUAUCCUGGUCCCCAAAUUACAAGUGAUAAAACCUCACUGGGCUGUUUCUACAAGGUCCCACCCUUCUUCCCUCACACACCAUUUUCCUUGAGCUGCCUCGGCACAGCCUCCAGAGUUCAAAGCUACUUAUCACACCUAGUUUUGGCUGAGGGCUGUCUUUGUCAUACUCAGACCUCAGACAAGAGGUAAUAUUGAUGAUAAAGGUUAUAUACAAAACUGGCUACAGUCAUUUCACUUUCACUCGGUGACUGAUUACUUUAAUACACUGUUGGAGUCAAUUUUUUAAAAAAGGCACUUAUUCUUUUAUUUAGUCAUGACAACUCUCAAAGUAAAGUUUAAGCAUUUAUUGAUAAAAACGAAAUGUGGGUAGGUUUGAUCUGCUAUGCUGAAUAGCUAUUUAGAUUUUUUUAAGAAAUAUGUUACGUUACAUUACACAGUAUUAGCUAAAAAUCUUCCACUUGCCUGAGGGAUAAGUAAUCAUUUUAUGAUUUGUCCUUUUCUGUCAUAUCAUGCUUAUAAGGUAGCUAGUAGUGGUCAGGUAAUGAGGCAUUUUGUAUAGGUGGAUGAAAAAAGCAUAAGCAUAAGUAUAAAGCUAGCUUUAGGGUCCCAGGUACUAUCCUGAUCUCAUGUUAUUGUCUAUGUGGAGGUUUACAUGUUCUCUCCACAUCCAUGUGGGUUUCCUCUGGGUUCCCCAGACACACCCUCCCCCCCCUCCUGUAUAUCUCCUGAAGUUAUCACCUGUGGUGUCCUAUGGGUAAGAAGCUGUCUUGUUUUUGUGCCAAACAUACACCGAUCAGGCAUAACAUUAUAACUACUGACAGAUAAAGUAAAUAACAAUGAUUAUCUCCUUAUUAUGGAUGGUCAUGGAUGGCCAAGGCUUACUGAUGCACGUGGGGAGCAAAGUCUGGCCGAUCCAACAGACGAGCAACUGUUACUUAAAUUGCUGAAGAAGUUAAUGCUGGUUCUGAUAGAAAGGUGUCAGAAUACACAGUGCGUCACAGUUUGUUACAAUGGUCAUGUGAGCAUCAGAACUAGACCAUGGAGCAAUGGAAGAAGAUGGCCUGGUCUGAUAAAUCACGUUUUCUUUUACAUCACAUGGAUGACCGGGUGCGUGUGUGUCACUUACCUGGGGAACACAUGGCACCUGUUGGCACUAUGGGAAGAAGGCAACCCGGCAGAGGCAGUGUCGUGCUUUGGGCAAUGUUCUGCUGGGAAUCCUUGGGUCCUGCCAUCUAUAUGGAUGUUACUUUGACACGUACCACCUACCUAAGCAUAUUCCAUGUCACAAAGCAAAAAUGGCUCAGGAAUGGUUUGAUGAGUUUCAGGUGUUGCCUCUAAAUUCCCCAGAUUCCAAUCGAGCAUCUGUGGGAUGUGCUGGACAAACAAGUCCGAUCCAUGGAUCCUUUUGCACCCCUCUUCGGAUCUAUACCUUUUUGACAGAAAGAUCUCAUUCAUGCACUGUACACUCUUUAGGUUCAACAGUUGCAUCAAGAAAAUCCUACAGAAACAGCUGAUCUUUUUCUGACUCACAAUCACUUAGUUGAUGACAGGUGUAGCGUAAUUACUUUUGUGCAUAAGUUUGAAUAUGAUUGGUCAAUUCAACUGCUUAAGUUACUGUAUAUUGUUUGAGUAACGUUGAUGGUUGAUAUAUCACAUUAAAGUUGUGUGGUUUGUUUGUAUUUUUUUACAUCACAAAAAUAUGUGGUUUUAUCAGGGGUGUGUAGACUUUUUAUAUCUGUCCAGCCACAGUAUUCCUGGAACAGGCUCCAGAUCCACCAUGAUCCUGACCAGGUUAUAGGACCUACUGAAGAUGAAUAAAUGAAUAAACACUAAGUUCCAUUAGCAUUUGGACAGAUGCCUUACUUUUUGUUAGAUUUUUUUUUUUUUUGCAAUCUGAAUGAUUUCAGCCUUCCAGUCAUGUGCUGCUGGCGUGGAUCUGUUUAUUUUUAAGAGAGAGUAUUACAGCGUGAAGCUGUACACAAGCUUAUGUUGUAAAAUGUCAUCCGCUGUCAUGUUUCAAUGUUCAUGGGGCAUGACUUUACUUAGCUAUGCGACACUGUCAAGUCACCUGUCCACUGUGAAUUGAUGGCUUGUGUAUCCGAGACAGACACUGGCUCUUCAUCAUGAAGAGGUUCGGACACAUCAAUCCUGCACACACCUGCGACACAUUCCUGCUGUUGGAGGUUGUCCCGGUCACACUGGCAGGCUGGUUGGCAGCAGAUCCUCAUUUAGAGAUGAUGUCUGACACAGGGAGGAAUAAUAAUGAAUGACUUUAUGGUAAUGGCAGUAUUAUGAAUGUACAGAAGAUUAGCACUGAGGUUUCUGUUGUACUGAAACAGUCUCUCAUAUUAACCAGCAAGGUCAGGUAAUGGAACAUUGGAUGUUCAUUCCCUUUCACUCUGUUGCCAAAUAAUUGCAGAAUGGAUUAUUGAUGAACUAAUUAGCUGUGGAAGUACAUUUUGGUGAACAGAUUGGCUAUAACAGAUCUCAUUAGUAUUUUCUGAAGCCAACUUGGCAUCAACAGCAAAAUGCCGUAGAGAAAGGUGUGUGCUUCCUGGAUCCUGUCCAGUGUCUGUGUGCCUGGUACGUAAAUUAAAGCACUCAAUAAAGCUGUCGAGGAAACACUGGCAUCCCAAUCAUGCUGCCAAACUGUGCAUCCUCAAUGAGCAGAGUGAGAAAAUAUGCUUUUAUUUCAAUGCACCUUUCUGUUACUUGUAUAUCAUAAUAUUACUUCCCUGUCAGAAUAUUACAAGUUGAAGAAUUGAUCGAUUGCUUGAUCAUGACAUUAGACAGUUUAUCUAGAUAAUUUCAGAGUCCACAAAGGCUUGAUUGAUGAAAAAUAUGGCCCAAUUGGUGGAAAAAGAGUGACCCAAUCCACAUGUUUUAAAAUGUGGCCCAACUGUGGGAAAAAGCAGACCCAAAUGAUCAGAAUAAUGAUAACAAUUUAAUUUAAAUUUCUGUGGUAAAAGAGAAAUAAAACUCUUCAGGACUCAAACGUUAAAAUAGUCAACUAUAGGGUGGUAAUAGUAACUUUGUUCCAUCACACCACCCCAUUACUGAUUUUAUUAUAACAGGACAACACAGAGUGUGUUAUUCCUUACAUAAUCAGAGGAGCACAUUAAAAUUUAAAGGACACAAGGUUAUCAGGUCAUCUGUGCUGCCAGGAAUCUCUAACAUAUUAAAAACAAAGGUGGCUAGAGGUCAGUUAUCUUUCUUCUUUUCAUCUCAUCACCCCUUCUCUCAGUCUCUCUGUACGCCCUCCACAUGUUCUUUUUUAUUUUCAGUCUAAUGAGCCACUCUGUAUCAUGUAAGCACAAACUUUUCUUUUUCCCCAGCCAGAGAAACGAUAUUAUGAAAUCAGUGCAUGCAGGAAAUGUCUCUUUAUUGACACCAGUGAAAAUUUAACCUCAGUUAAUGCCCACAUUGGAAUCUUGCCUGCAGCAGAUGCUCCACCAUCAUAAACAUGGUCCUGCAUGCAAAAGAGGCGGCUAUGCUAAUUAGCUUUACCAUAUUUUUAUUGAGAUGGUCGUUUCCUCCUGCACUUCUCCAACAGAGUGUGUAAUGAUGGCUAAAGGCUAGUGCUGGUCUAGCUAUGGGCAGUUGUUAAUACUUGUGAAGUUGCUUUGACGUUCUCGUGUAGAGUUUAUCUUAUAGUAAAAAUCUCAUAAUUCUUAUGCUAAUAGCUUUUGUCAUUAUUGAACUCUUUGUGUACCUAUCUACAUAUUUACUGUUUUACUGAUAGUAGUUGUGAUAAGAGGAAUAGUAUUAGAAGCAGUAGAUGUUGUGUGUGUGUGUGUGUGUGUGUGUGAGGGAGGGGUGCAUUCCUGUCACCAAUAAUAAAUUACCCCAUCUUGGAGAAGCACAGCUAGUGUUUAUUGUGGAUUUACUGUGUUUCUGGUCAUUACAUUUUUUCAAAGCUCAAAAAAAAUAUGACUGGGCAGAGACCUGCCUAAACAUAAACAAGCAUUCCAGACACCAGGUUAUAGCUUAGACCAUUAUGUUUUAUCAUGUUGUAUUUAUUUACAGGUUAUUUGGACCAGUAUGAAUUGUAAAAUGAAAAAAUCGCACCUUUUACAUCACACAUUUAUCUCUUUUAAAUGUUUAGGAUCAGUAUUUAUCCUGCCCACAGUUUAUAUGUAUUGUAAGGGAAAUACUUGUUUAUCACUGCUGAUGUUCUAUUAAGGUGUAUGACGUUUCUUUAAGUGAUGAAUUUUAUGACUAAGUUCAUGAAUAAACAGGUGUGUAUAUACACUGGUGUUCUUCAUCUUUUAUCCAAUCAGAAUCCAGAAUUCAGCAGCUGUUAUAUAAAGUGCUACAUUUUUUCAGGUUAACUAUAAACCCAGUGAUGGAGCUCUACAGAUUGACUAGAAGAAAUAAAAGGUGGAGAACAUCAGCUGUCUGUGCUACAGCAUAGAUCCUAGUGCUUUCAUUAAAGACAGAACAUGGGGCAGAAGCACUGAUGAGGAUGGAUGUCUGGCCGCCAGGCAGGACACGAACUCCUCAAGUAACCUCCAAAAAAUGUCUAGUGUGUCAAGAACAAUCUUCUGUUGACUUGAGUAGGUAGAUUGAUCAAUAAAUUGUGGGUUUCUCCACUCUUGUACUUGGCAGUGAAUAAAGACCUCUCUUUCAGUCUUCGCCUCUGAAACCUCCGAGUAUAUCCUUCAGAGAAGCUGAUGCCACUA